rnacentral:lncRNA from 1 species
UUCUCUUCUGUACCCUGGAACCCUCAGUGAGUGUGGUCUUCCAAAUUCCUGAGAUGCCCUCAAAGCAUCUUUCCUGUUGUUUCAUGCAAAGUACUUAACACUUAUCUUCAACAAGCAUACUUGGUCCCAGCCUUAGAAGCCUUUUCUAGGCAAACUACAAGUUUUCAAAAUUAUUUAGUUCUGGUUUUUGCUCCUUAUUCUCAUGUAAACCUGGCUAACAGCUGCCAGAAAUAUCCAUGCCACUAACUGAAUGCUGUCCUGCCUGAAAUCUCCUCCAUCAAAUUAAUUAGUCCACCUUUAAUUUCAUCCUUACACAAAAUCUUAGGACAUGAGCAAAAUGUAACCAAGUUCUCUGUCAGAAUAUAACAUGAGUGACCUGUAGUCCAACUCCCCAUAAAGUUCUCAUUUCCCUCAGAAUCUUCAUGAGCAUUACCCUUUUGACCUCCUGAGCUGCCACCAGAAUCAACCAUUAGACUCCACUUACAACAUUCUAAAAUUUUUCCAGCUUGCAUCUCUACACUUUUCAAAAUUACCACUAACCAGCUCCAAAGGCUUCUGAACUACAUUGUCAUGUUAGUCACAGCAGUGACCCCUACUUCUUAGUACCAAUUUCUGUUUUAGUGAGCUUUUUGUCACUGUGACCAAAAUACCUGACAUGAACAACUUAGAGAAGGAAAAGUUUAUUUGGGGCUUACAGUUUCAGAGAUCUCAGUCUAUAGACUGCCAGCGCCAUUGCUCUAGACCCAAGAUGAAGCAGCACAUCAUAGGCAAUUUCCCAGUAGAGGAAAACAGCUCAUGGUGGAGUCUGGAAGCAGAGAAAAUGGAGGGGAUAG